ACGUAGGUGGCGAGCGUUGUCCGGAUUUACUGGGCGUAAAGCGUGCGCAGGCGGUUUUGUAAGUCUGUCGUGAAAUCCCCGGGCUCAACCUGGGAAUUGCGAUGGAGACUGCAAGGCUAGAAUCUGGCAGAGGGGGGUAGAAUUCCACGUGUAGCAGUGAAAUGCGUAGAGAUGUGGAGGAACACCGAUGGCGAAGGCAGCCCCCUGGGUCAAGAUUGACGCUCAUGCACGAAAGCGUGGGGAGCAAACAGGA
rnacentral:rRNA from 1 species